GUCUCUUAUGCUUUUACUAUAGUAUUAUUCCUUGAACUUGAUUAUUGUGUGCCUUUGAUAUGAUUUUUUUUCUUUUUUUGUGUAAAACAUUCAUUUUAUCUUUCUAUGGUCUAACCAUGAUUUUCCCCCCUAACAUGAUAGAUAUCAGUGUUAAUUCAUUCCUUCCCUCUCUUACUUCAAUAUGGAUGGAACAUCCACUUGUAACUGGAGAAAUCCCAGUUGAAGCACUAGAUAGCUGGGAUUGUAGAAAAUUCAUAUUUAUUACUGCAACUUUGUAGUUUUAAUAUCAUUUGCUGAGGCACUGGUUAAUUAUCUUCACUUUCAUCUUUUCGAAACUAGAAUUUAGAAAAUAAAAAUGAUAAUACACAAGAGGGCUAGUAUGCAUAACUUAGAAGACCUCAUUUAUUUCAUCUACUUGAUUACGAUGACAUUUUCUUGCAUGGUUUUUAUAUUAUCUUUGUAUACUUCAGUCUUGUGAG
rnacentral:misc_RNA from 1 species